AAACGACUCUCGGCAACGGAUAUCUCGGCUCACGYAUCGAUGAAGAACGUAGCAAAAUGCGAUACUUGGUGUGAAUUGCAGAAUCCCGUGAACCAUCGAGUUUUUGAACGCAAGUUGCGCCCGAAGCCAUCAGGCCGAGGGCACGCCUGCCUGGGCGUCACG
rnacentral:rRNA from 1 species